rnacentral:rRNA from 1 species
AAACUUUCAACAACGGAUCUCUUGGCUCCGGCAUCGAUGAAGAACGCAGCGAAAUGCGAUAAGUAGUGUGAAUUGCAGAACUCAGUGAACCAUCGAAUCUUUGAACGCACAUUGCGCCCGCCAGCACUCUGGCGGGCAUGCCUGUUCGAGCGUCGUU